rnacentral:rRNA from 1 species
UCGACGGAAGGCCCUUCGGGGUACUCGAGUGGCGAACGGGUGAGUAACACGUGGGUGAUCUGCCCUGCACUUUGGGAUAAGCCUGGGAAACUGGGUCUAAUACCGAAUAGGACCACGCGCUUCAUGGUGUGUGGUGGAAAGCUUUUGCGGUGUGGGAUGGGCCCGCGGCCUAUCAGCUUGUUGGUGGGGUAAUGGCCUACCAAGGCGACGACGGGUAGCCGGCCUGAGAGGGUGACCGGCCACACUGGGACUGAGAUACGGCCCAGACUCCUACGGGAGGCAGCAGUGGGGAAUAUUGCACAAUGGGCGCAAGCCUGAUGCAGCGACGCCGCGUGAGGGAUGACGGCCUUCGGGUUGUAAACCUCUUUCAAUAGGGACGAAGCGCAAGUGACGGUACCUAUAGAAGAAGCACCGGCCAACUACGUGCCAGCAGCCGCGGUAAUACGUAGGGUGCGAGCGUUGUCCGGAAUUACUGGGCGUAAAGAGCUCGUAGGUGGUUUGUCGCGUUGUUCGUGAAAACUCACAGCUUAACUGUGGGCGUGCGGGCGAUACGGGCAGACUAGAGUACUGCAGGGGAGACUGGAAUUCCUGGUGUAGCGGUGGAAUGCGCAGAUAUCAGGAGGAACACCGGUGGCGAAGGCGGGUCUCUGGGCAGUAACUGACGCUGAGGAGCGAAAGCGUGNGGAGCGAACAGGAUUAGAUACCCUGGUAGUCCACGCCGUAAACGGUGGGUACUAGGUGUGGGUUCCUUCCUUGGGAUCCGUGCCGUANCUAACGCAUUAAGUACCCCGCCUGGGGAGUACGGCCGCAAGGCUAAAACUCAAAGGAAUUGACGGGGGCCCGCACAAGCGGCGGANCAUGUGGAUUAAUUCGAUGCAACGCGAAGAACCUUACCUGGGUUUGACNUGCACAGGACGCCGGCAGANAUGUCGGUUCCCUUGUGGCCUGUGUGCNNNNGUGCAUGGNUGUCGUCAGCUCGUGUCGUGANAUGUUGGGUUAAGUCCCGCAACGANCGCAACCCUUGUCCUAUGNNGCCAGCGGGUNAUGCCGGGGNNUCNUAGNANACUGNNGGGGNCAACUC